rnacentral:rRNA from 1 species
GCAAGAUUAAAACUCAAAGGAAUAGACGGGGACCCGCACAAGCGGUGGAGCAUGUGGUUUAAUUCGACGAUAUGCGAAGAACCUUACCUGGCCUUGACAUAGAAAGAACUUUCCAGAGACGGAUUGGUGCUAGUUUACUAGAGCUUUCAUACAGGUGCUGCACGGCUGUCGUCAGCUCGUGUCGUGAGAUGUUGGGUUAAGUCCCGCAACGAGCGCAACCCUCGUGUUUAGUUACUAACAGUUCGGCUGAGGACUCUAAGCAGACUGCCUGGGUAACCAGGAGGAAGGUGAGGACGACGUCAAGUCAUCAUGGCCCUUACGGCCAGGGCUACACACGUGCUACAAUGGGGUAUACAAAGAGCUGCAAUACGGUGACGUGGAGCAAAUCUCAUAAAAUAUCUCCCAGUUCGGAUUGAAGUCUGCAACUCGACUUCAUGAAGUUGGAAUCGCUAGUAAUCGUAGAUCAGCAAUGCUACGGUGAAUACGUUCCCGGGUCUUGUACUCACCGCCCGUCACACCAUGGGAAUUGAAUUCAUUCGAAGCGGGGAUGCUAAAAUAGCUACCUUCCACAGUGGAUUUAGUAACUAGGGUGAAGUCGUAACAAGGUA